AGCGAACGCUGGCGGUAUGCUUAACACAUGCAAGUCGAGCGCGAAAGUGACUUCGGUCAUGAGUAGAGCGGCGGACGGGUGAGUAACACGUGGAUAAUCUGCCUUUAGGACUGGGAUAACCCUGGGAAACUAGGGCUAAUACCGGAUAAGACCACAGGUUCCAUGGAACCAGGGGUAAAAGGCGGCCUUCGGCUGUCGCCGAAAGAUGAGUCCGCGUCCCAUCAGGUAGUUGGUGAGGAACGGCUCACCAAGCCGAAGACGGGUAGCCGACCUUAGCGGGUGAUCGGCCACACGGGGACGUGAGACA
rnacentral:rRNA from 1 species